rnacentral:misc_RNA from 1 species
AAGUCGUAACAAGGUUUCCGUAGGUGAACCUGCGGAAGGAUCAUUACCGAGUGCGGGCCCUCGUGGCCCAACCUCCCACCCUUGUCUCUAUACACCUGUUGCUUUGGCGGGCCCACCGGGGCCACCUGGUCGCCGGGGGACAUCUGUCCCCGGGCCCGCGCCCGCCGAAGCGCUCUGUGAACCCUGAUGAAGAUGGGCUGUCUGAGUACUAUGAAAAUUGUCAAAACUUUCAACAAUGGAUCUCUUGGUUCCG